CUUUAGCCCCGAUUGUAAUGAAAAGCCCGCAGCGCAGCGAGGACUUGUAAUGUAAAGCGGGUGAAUGA
rnacentral:sRNA from 1 species